ensembl:lncRNA
CUUUUUUGUUUUGGUGUUAGUUCUAGAAGGUCUUAUAGGCAUCAUAGAACCAUUCACUCCAGCUUCUUCAGUAUUAGUGGUUGGGGUAUAGACUUAGAUUACUGUGAUACUGAAUGGUUUGCCUUGGAAAUGAACAGAGUUCAUUCUGUCAUUUUGAGAUUGUACCCAUCUUAGGCCAGUUACCUAAGUUCUCUGUGCUUCCAUAUGUGAGUGGUGUGAUCUUAGUCAAGUUGCAUAACCUUUUCGUGCUUCCAUAUCUUAGCUGUGUGAUCUUAGACAAUUUGUGUGACCUUUUCUGUGCUUCCACUUAUGAGCUGUGUGAUCUUGGGCAAGUUGCCUGACCUCCCUUUGCUUCCAUUUCUGAGCCCUGUGAUCUUAGGCAAGUUGCCUACCUCUCUAUGCUUCAGUAUCUUACCUGUGUUAUUGUAUGUAAUUUGCCUGACCACUCUGUUCUUCUAAUUUUGAACUGUCUGAUCUUAAGCAAGUUGCCUAAUCCCUUUUUGCUUCCACUUCUGAGUUGUGCAAUUGUAGGCAAGUUGCCUGUUUUUACUGUGUUUCCACAUCUGAGCUGUGUGAUCUUAGGCAAGAUGCCUGACCUCUCUGUGUUUCCAGUCUGAGAUGUUUCAUCUUAGGCAAGUUGCCUGAUCUUUCUGUGAUUCCGCUAUUGAGCUGUGAGAUCUUGGUCAAGUUGCCUGACAUCUCUGUUCUUUUCCUUGUGAACUGUGUAAUCUUAGGCAAGUUGCCUGACCUCUCUGUGCUUCCACUUUGGAACUGUCUUCCAAUGAAAGUUGCAUGAACUCUCUAUGAUUCUGCUUCUUGAGCUAUGUGACCUUAGUCAAGUUGUCUGACAUCUCUGUUUUUAAACCUCUGAGCUGCUGCUGCUGCUGCUGCUAAGUCGCUUCAGUUGUGUCCGACUCUGUGCAACCCCAUAGACGGCAGCCCACCAGGCUCUGCUGUCCCUGGGAUUCUCCAGGCAAGAACACUGGAGUGGGUUGCCAUUUCCUUCUCCAAUGCAGGAAAGUGAAAAGUGAAAGUGAAUUCGCUCAGUCGUGUCCGACUCUUCGUGACCCCAUGGACUGCAGCCCACCAGACUCCUCUAUCCAUGGGAUUUUUCAGGCAAGAGUACUGGAGUGGGGUGCCAUUGCUUUCUCCACACCUCUUAGCUGUGUGAUCUUAUUCAAGGUGCCUGAUUUCUCUGUGCUUUAAUGUGAGCUGUGGGCUCUUAGUCAAGGUGUCCGACCUCUCUGGGCUUUCACUUGUGAACUGUGUGAUCUUAGUUCUGUGUUCUUAGUCAUGUUACCUGAUGUCUCUGUGUUUCCAUGUCUGAGCUCUAUGAUGUCAGGGAGGUGUCCUGAAUCUCUGUGCUUCCAAGUCUGAGCUUUGUGAUCUUAGGCAAGUUGCCUAUCCUCUCUUUGCUUCGACUUAUGAGGAAUGUGAUCUUUGGCAGUUGCCUAUCCUCUCUGUUCUUCCACUUCUGUGUUGUGGGAUCUUAGCCAAGUUGCCUGACCUCUAUGAGCUUCCACUUGUUAGCUUUGUGAAGUUAGGCAAGAUGUCUGACCUCUCAGUGCUCCCAUAUCUUAACUCUGAGAUCCUUGGCAAGUUUCCUAACCUUUCACUGCUUCCAGAUGUGAGAUGUGUGAUCUUAAGCAAGCUUGCUAACUUCUCUGUGCUUCCACAUCUGAGCUAUAUGAUCUUAGGCAAGCUGCCUGACCUUUCUCAGGUGCCACUUCUGUGCUCUGUGAUCUUAAGCAAGUUGUGGGACAUCACUGUGCAUCCAUUUCUGCUAUGUAUGAUCUUAGCCAGGUUGCCAGACCUCUCUGUGGUUUCACUUCUGAGCUGUGAUAUUUUAGGCAAGUUGCCUGACCUCUGUCCUUCCACUUGCAAGCUAUAUUUUAGGUAAGUUGCCAGACCUCUCUUUGUUUCCAGCUCAUAGCUGUGACCUUAGUCAAGGAGCAUAACCUCUCUGUACUUCCGCUUCUGAACUGUGUUAUCUUAGGUAAGUUGACUGACUUCUCUGUGCUUCCUUAUGUGAGUUGUGUGCUCUUAGGCAAGUUCUGUACAUUCUCUGUACUUCCACUAAAGAGCUGUGUGAUCUUAAGCACGUUGCCUGAUCUCUCUGUGAUUCUACUCCUGAACUUUGUGAUCUUAGGCAAGUUGCCUGACCUCUCUGUGCUUUCUCUUCUGAGUUGUGUAAUCUUGGGCAAGUUACUGAACAUCUCUAUGCUUCCACUUCUAAGCUGUGUGAUCCUAGGCAAGGUGCCUGACAUCUCUGUGCUUCCACUUCAGAGCUGUGUCAUGUUACUACAGUUGCCUGGCAUCUCUGAGAUUCCCAUAUGAGCUGUUUGUUCUUAGACAAGAUGCCUAACCUCUCUGUGCUUCCACUGUUGAGCUGUGUGAUCAUAGGCAAGUUGACUGACCUCUCUGUACUUCCACAUGUGAGUCUUGUGCUCUUAGGCAAGUUGUGUAAACUCUCUGUGCUUCUGCUUCUGAGCUCUGUGAUCUUAUCCAAGUUGGGUAACCUCUUUAUGCUUUUUAUGCUUACACUUCUGAGCUGUGUGAUUUUGGCAAGUUGCCUGACCUCUCUGUGCUUCCAUAUCUGAGCUGUAUGACCUUAGUAAAGGUGCCUGACUUCUCUUUGUUUCCACUUUUGAGCUGUCUGAUCUUAGGUAAGUUGACUGACCUUUCUUUGCCUCCACUUCUGGGCUGUGUGAUCUUAGGCAAAUUGCCUAACAUCUCUGUGUUUCCACCUAUUAGCUGCAUGACCUUAGUGAAGGCGCCUGACCACUCUGUACUUCCACUUGAACUGUGUGACCUUCAGAUUUGCCUCGCAUCUCUGUGCUUCCAUAAAUGAGCUGUGUGCUCUUAGAAAAGGUGCCUAACCUCUCUUUACUUCCACUAGAGCUGUGUUUUCUUAGGUAACUUGGCUAAAUUCUCUUAGCUUCCAUAUCUGAGGAGUUGUGUGAUCUCAGGCAAAUUGCCUGACCUCUCUGUGCUUUCACUUUGGAUCUGUUCGAUGUUAGGCAUGUUACUUGACCUAUCAGUGUUUCCAGUAGAGCUGUUUGAUCUUAGGGAAUUGUCUGACCACUCUGUGUUUCCACUUCUGAGCUGUGUGAUCUUAGUCUAGUUGCCUGACCUCUCUGUGCUUCCACAUCUAUGAUGUUUGAUCCUAGGCUAGUUGCUGGACCUCUCUGUGCUUCUACUUAUGGGCUAUGUAAUCUUAGGCAAGUCUCAUAAACACUCUGUGCUUCCACAUCUGAGUUGUGUGAUCUUAGGCAUGCUGUCUGACCUCUCUGUGUUUCCACCUGUGAGCUGUUUGAUCUUAGUCAACGUGCAUGACCUCUCUGAGCUUCCACUACAGCUGUGAGAUCUUAGGCAAGAUGCCUGACCUCACUGUGCUUCCACUGAAGAGCUCUGUG